AGAGUUUGAUCCUGGCUCAGAUUGAACGCUGGCGGCAUGCUUUACACAUGCAAGUCGAACGGCAGCACGGGGGCAACCCUGGUGGCGAGUGGCGAACGGGUGAGUAAUGCAUCGGAACGUAUCUUCGAGUGGGGGAUAACGCACCGAAAGGUGUGCUAAUACCGCAUAAUCUCUACGGAGAAAAGCAGGGGAUCGCAAGACCUUGCGCUCUUGGAGCGGCCGAUGUCUGAUUAGCUAGUUGGUGAGGUAAAGGCUUACCAAGGCGACGAUCAGUAGCUGGUCUGAGAGGACGACCAGCCACACUGGGACUGAGACACGGCCCAGACUCCUACGGGAGGCAGCAGUGGGGAAUUUUGGACAAUGGGGGAAACCCUGAUCCAGCCAUGCCGCGUGAGUGAAGAAGGCCUUCGGGUUGUAAAGCUCUUUCAGCCGGAACGAAACGGUCACGGCUAAUACCUGUGAUCACUGACGGUACCGGAAGAAGAAGCACCGGCUAACUACGUGCCAGCAGCCGCGGUA
rnacentral:rRNA from 1 species